UAUCUGGUUGAUCCUGCCAGUAGUCAUAUGCUUGUCUCAAAGAUUAAGCCAUGCAUGUCUAAGUACAAACCUUAAUACGGUGAAACCGCGAAUGGCUCAUUAAAUCAGCUAUGGUUCCUUAGAUCGUCUCAUCCUACUCGGAUAACUGUGGAAAAUCUAGAGCUAAUACGUGCUUACAAGCCCUGACCUCACGGGAGGGGCGCAUUUAUUAGAUCAAAACCAAUCGGGGCUUGCCCCGUCUGCUUGGUGACUCUGGAUAACUUUUGUGCUGAUCGCAUGGCCUCUGCGCUGGCGACGUAUCUUUCAAGUGUCUGCCCUAUCAACUUACGAUGGUAGGUGAUAUGCCUACCAUGGUUAUAACGGGUAACGGGGAAUCAGGGUUCGAUUCCGGAGAGGGAGCCUGAGAAACGGCUACCACAUCUAAGGAAGGCAGCAGGCGCGCAAAUUACCCACUCCCGGCACGGAGGUAGGUAGUGACGAAAAAUAACGAUACGGGACUCUUUUGAGGCCCCGUAAUUGGAAUGAGUACACUUUAAUCCGUU
rfam:Macrostomum lignano uti_cns_0049014, whole genome shotgun sequence.